UACGAGGGGGGCGAGCGUUGUUCGGAAUUAUUGGGCGUAAAGGGUGCGUAGGCGGUUUGGUAAGUCUGAUGUGAAAUCUAUGGGCUCAACUCAUAGUCUGCAUCGGAAACUGCCGGGCUUGAGUAUGGGAGAGGUGAGUGGAAUUCCUGGUGUAGCGGUGAUAUGCGUAGAUAUCAGGAGGAACACCGGUGGCGAAGGCGGGUCUCUGGGCAGUAACUGACGCUGAGGAGCGAAAGCGUGGGGAGCGAACAGG
rnacentral:rRNA from 1 species